CUGGGGCAACUUGCGCAUGGGCGAAGCCUGAGCAGCAACGCCGCCUGAGGGAUGACGGCCCUCGGGCUGUAAACCUACCUCAGAUCCGACGAAGCGGAACUGACGGUAGGAGCAGAGGAAGCACCGGCCAACUACGUGCCAGCAGCCGCGGUAAUACGUAGGGUGCAAGCGCUGUCCGGAACUUCUGGGCGUAAAGAGCUCGUAGGCGGUCUGUCGCGUCGGCUGUGAAAACUCGGGGCUCAACUCCGAGCUUGCAGUCGAUACGGGCAAGGCUAUUUUUUUGGCGGGGGGAAAAUGGAUUUUCCGGGUGUUGGGGUGUAAAAUGCCCAAAUAUCAGGAGGAACACCGGUGGCGAAGGCGGGUCUCUGGGCCGAUACUGACGCUGAGGAGCGAAAGCGUGGGGAGCGAACAGGAUUAGAUACCCUGGUAUUCCACGCCGUAAACUUUGGGCGCUAGGUGUGGGAUCCUUUCCAUUGUUUUCCUUGCCGCAUCUAACGCAUUAAGCCCCCCGCCU
rnacentral:rRNA from 1 species